ACCUAACACUGUUGCUUCGGCGGGGAGCCCUCUCGGGGGCGAGCCGCCGGGGACUACUGAACUUCAUGCCUGAGAGUGAUGCAGUCUGAGUCUGAAUAUAAAAUCAGUCAAAACUUUCAACAAUGGAUCUCUGUGGUUCCGGCAUCGAUGAAGAACGCAGCGAACUGCGAUAAGUAAUGUGAAUUGCAGAAUUCAGUGAAUCAUCGAGUCUUUGAACGCACAUUGCGCCCCCUGGCAUUCCGGGGGGCAUGCCUGUCCGAGCGUCAUUGCUGCCCAUCAAGCCCGGCUUGUGUGUUGGGUCGUCGUCCCCCCCGGGGGACGGGCCCGAAAGGCAGCGGCGGCACCGUGUCCGGUCCUCGAGCGUAUGGGGCUUUGUCACCCGCUCGAUUAGGGCCGGCCGGGCGCCAGCCGACGUCUCCAACCAUUUUCUUCAGGUUGACCUCGGAUCAGGUAGGGAUACCCGCUGAACU
rnacentral:rRNA from 1 species